rnacentral:rRNA from 1 species
GACGAACGCUGGCGGCGUGCUUAACACAUGCAAGUCGAACGGUGAAGCGCCUUCCUUUUUGGUGGGUGUGGAUGAGCGGCGACCGGGUGAGUAACACGUGAGCAACCUGCCCCCUUUUCCAGGAUUACCGCAUGAAAGCGUGGCUAAUACGGGAUAUUCUGGUCCUGUCGCACGAUGGGCCUGGGCCAGAUACUGUGUCGGUGGGCGACGGGCUCGCGGCCUUUCAGCUUGCUGGUGGGGUGAUGGCCUACCAAGGCGGUGACGAGUAGCCGUCCUGAGAGGGUAGACGGUCACACUAGGACUGAGACACGGCGACGACUCCUACGGGGGGCAGCAGGGGGGAGUAUUGCACGAUGGGCGAUAGCCUGAUGCAGCGACGCAGCGUGAGGGAUGGGGGCCUUCGGGUUGUAAACCCCUUUCGCCAGUGAAGCAGGCCUGCCUCGUAUGUGGGUGGGUUGACGGUAGCUGGAUAAGAAGCGGCCGCUAACUACGUG